AGAGCGAACGCUGGCGGCAGGCCUAAUACAUGCAAGUCGAGCGCACCUUCGGGUGAGCGGCGGACGGGUGAGUAACGCGUGGGAAUGUGCCCUUUGGUACGGAACAACUGGGGGAAACUUCAGCUAAUACCGUAUGUGCCCUUCGGGGGAAAGAUUUAUCGCCAUUGGAGCAGCCCGCGUUGGAUUAGGUAGUUGGUGAGGUAAAGGCUCACCAAGCCUACGAUCCAUAGCUGGUCUGAGAGGAUGAUCAGCCACACUGGGACUGAGACACGGCCCAGACUCCUACGGGAGGCAGCAGUAGGGAAUCUUGCGCAAUGGGCGAAAGCCUGACGCAGCCAUGCCGCGUGAAUGAUGAAGGUCUUAGGAUUGUAAAAUUCUUUCACCGGGGAAGAUAAUGACGGUACCCGGAGAAGAAGCCCGGCUAACUUCGUGCCAGCAGCCGC
rnacentral:rRNA from 1 species